GGGUUGUGAGGUUAAGCGACUAAGCGUACACGGUGGAUGCCCUGGCAGUCAGAGGCGAUGAAGGACGUGCUAAUCUGCGAAAAGCGUCGGUAAGGUGAUAUGAACCGUUACAGCCGGCGAUGUCCGAAUGGGGAAACCCAGUGCAAUUCGUUGCACUAUCGUUAACUGAAUACAUAGGUUAACGAGGCGAACCGGGGGAACUGAAACAUCUAAGUACCCCGAGGAAAAGAAAUCAACCGAGAUUCCCCCAGUAGCGGCGAGCGAACGGGGAGCAGCCCAGAGUCUGAAUCAGCUUGUGUGUUAGUGGAACGGUCUGGAAAGUCCGACGGUACAGGGUGAUAGUCCCGUACACCAAAAUGCACAGGCUGUGAACUCGAAGAGUAGGGCGGGACACGUGGUAUCCUGUCUGAAUAUGGGGGGACCAUCCUCCAAGGCUAAAUACUCCUGACUGACCGAUAGUGAACCAGUACCGUGAGGGAAAGGCGAAAAGAACCCCGGCGAGGGGAGUGAAAAAGAACCUGAAACCGUGUACGUACAAGCAGUGGGAGCACCUUUAGGUGUGACUGCGUACCUUUUGUAUAAUGGGUCAGCGACUUAUAUUCUGUAGCAAGGUUAACCGUAUAGGGGAGCCGCAGGGAAACCGAGUCUUAACUGGGCGUUAAGUUGCAGGGUAUAGACCCGAAACCCGGUGAUCUAGCCAUGGGCAGGUUGAAGGUUGGGUAACACUAACUGGAGGACCGAACCGACUAAUGUUGAAAAAUUAGCGGAUGACUUGUGGCUGGGGGUGAAAGGCCAAUCAAACCGGGAGAUAGCUGGUUCUCCCCGAAAGCUAUUUAGGUAGCGCCUCGUGAAUUCAUCUUCGGGGGUAGAGCACUGUUUCGGCUAGGGGGUCAUCCCGACUUACCAACCCGAUGCAAACUACGAAUACCGAAGAAUGUUAUCACGGGAGACACACGGCGGGUGCUAACGUCCGUCGUGAAGAGGGAAACAACCCAGACCGCCAGCUAAGGUCCCAAAGUCACAGUUAAGUGGGAAACGAUGUGGGAAGGCACAGACAGCCAGGAUGUUGGCUUAGAAGCAGCCAUCAUUUAAAGAAAGCGUAAUAGCUCACUGGUCGAGUCGGCCUGCGCGGAAGAUGUAACGGGGCUAAACUGUGCACCGAAGCUGCGGCAGCGACACUAUGUGUUGUUGGGUAGGGGAGCGUUCUGUAAGCCUGCGAAGGUGGCCUGUGAGGGUUGCUGGAGGUAUCAGAAGUGCGAAUGCUGACAUAAGUAACGAUAAUGCGGGUGAAAAGCCCGCACGCCGGAAGACCAAGGGUUCCUGUCCAACGUUAAUCGGGGCAGGGUGAGUCGACCCCUAAGGCGAGGCCGAAAGGCGUAGUCGAUGGGAAACAGGUUAAUAUUCCUGUACUUGGUGUUACUGCGAAGGGGGGACGGAGAAGGCUAUGUUAGCCGGGCGACGGUUGUCCCGGUUUAAGCAUGUAGGCGGAGGUUCCAGGUAAAUCCGGUACCUUUUAACGCUGAGGUGUGAUGACGAGGCACUACGGUGCUGAAGUAACAAAUGCCCUGCUUCCAGGAAAAGCCUCUAAGCAUCAGGUAACAUUGAAUCGUACCCCAAACCGACACAGGUGGUCAGGUAGAGAAUACCAAGGCGCUUGAGAGAACUCGGGUGAAGGAACUAGGCAAAAUGGUGCCGUAACUUCGGGAGAAGGCACGCUGAUAUGUAGGUGAAGCCCCUGCGGGUGGAGCUGAAAUCAGUCGAAGAUACCAGCUGGCUGCAACUGUUUAUUAAAAACACAGCACUGUGCAAACACGAAAGUGGACGUAUACGGUGUGACGCCUGCCCGGUGCCGGAAGGUUAAUUGAUGGGGUUAUCCGUAAGGAGAAGCUCUUGAUCGAAGCCCCGGUAAACGGCGGCCGUAACUAUAACGGUCCUAAGGUAGCGAAAUUCCUUGUCGGGUAAGUUCCGACCUGCACGAAUGGCGUAAUGAUGGCCAGGCUGUCUCCACCCGAGACUCAGUGAAAUUGAACUCGCUGUGAAGAUGCAGUGUACCCGCGGCAAGACGGAAAGACCCCGUGAACCUUUACUAUAGCUUGACACUGAACAUUGAGCCUUGAUGUGUAGGAUAGGUGGGAGGCUUUGAAGCGUGGACGCCAGUCUGCGUGGAGCCAACCUUGAAAUACCACCCUUUAAUGUUUGAUGUUCUAACGUUGGCCCCUAAUCGGGGUUGCGGACAGUGUCUGGUGGGUAGUUUGACUGGGGCGGUCUCCUCCCAAAGAGUAACGGAGGAGCACGAAGGUUAGCUAAUCCUGGUCGGACAUCAGGAGGUUAGUGCAAUGGCAUAAGCUAGCUUGACUGCGAGCGUGACGGCGCGAGCAGGUGCGAAAGCAGGUCAUAGUGAUCCGGUGGUUCUGAAUGGAAGGGCCAUCGCUCAACGGAUAAAAGGUACUCCGGGGAUAACAGGCUGAUACCGCCCAAGAGUUCAUAUCGACGGCGGUGUUUGGCACCUCGAUGUCGGCUCAUCACAUCCUGGGGCUGAAGUAGGUCCCAAGGGUAUGGCUGUUCGCCAUUUAAAGUGGUACGCGAGCUGGGUUUAGAACGUCGUGAGACAGUUCGGUCCCUAUCUGCCGUGGGCGCUGGAGAAUUGAGGGGGGCUGCUCCUAGUACGAGAGGACCGGAGUGGACGCAUCACUGGUGUUCGGGUUGUCAUGCCAAUGGCAUUGCCCGGUAGCUAAAUGCGGAAGAGAUAAGUGCUGAAAGCAUCUAAGCACGAAACUUGCCCCGAGAUGAGUUCUCCCUGAGACUUUAAGUCUCCUGAAGGAACGUUAAAGACGAUGACGUUGAUAGGUCGGGUGUGUAAGCGUAGCGAUACGUUGAGCUAACCGAUACUAAUGAACCGUGAGGCUUAACCUUACAACGCCGAAGGUGUUU
rnacentral:rRNA from 1 species